CAUUAUUUAAAAUUUGGAUAAUUUAUUCAUUGUGGAUCACCUUGCAUUAUUUUUACAUUUUAAAAAAUGUUGCUUUAAGCUGGACAUCAUGGCGCACACCUGUAACCCCAGCACUGGGGAGGCUGAGGCAAGAGCAUUAUAGCGAGUCCGAGGCCAGCCUGGGCUACAGAGACCCUGUUUUAAAAAAAAAGGAAGCUCAGCGAGGUGCUGUGCUGUGCCAGCUAAGGAAUGAGGCAGCAAAACUCAGACUUCCAGGCCCUCUGGGGGAUCAAGCACUGGUGGGAAGGCCCUCAGUCCCACCCAAUGCCUUCUCCACCCAAUGCCUUCUCCUCCCGCCGCCUGCAGGAAGAUGAUUUUGCAGAGCAGCUCAGUGAGAGCACGGAGGACCUCAGCCUGGAUUUAGGGGCCCUGCAGGGCAGCGAGUAUCUCCAGGACCUCGGCCUAGCAGCCCCUUCCCCCAGCCCGGCCGGUGGGGCCUCCGGCAGCAGCCCCUUGAAGACAGAAGCUGAGAGGGACUCGCCCUUCUCGAGCUCCGCAGGGGCCCAGACUCUGGUUCGGAGACGCAGCUGGGAGAGGUCACGGAGCUGCUCAGAGGACUGGCAGAGGCUCAGCUUUGCCCCCCUGCCUGUGGAGGAGAGCCCCUGCCUCCCCCGGACACUGGCUAGUCUGGCUCUCAACCUGUCCGGGGAAGGGUUGAAGACUUGGACCCAAGGCUGUCUGUCUGGAGGCGGGACUGCAGCCGAGCACCCUGGCAAGGUGAGUACUGCCUGGACACACCCUGACAGUGGCACAAGCUGCCUCCAGAAGCCAGCGCUCUGGGUGGGAGGAAGCACCACCAACUCGAAGGACUCGAUCGUGCUGGGGAAGAGGGAGGGAGGCGUCCAUGGCCAGGCAUCUCCGGGCCCUGGGUUUCGGUCUGCAAUUCGGUCUAUUUUCUGCGCCACAUGACACUGUUGCAGAGUGACUAUGUCACCUAGAGGUUUGCUACAGCACAUGACUUGAGGUCCAAGGUGCAGGCCCUGCAUCUGGAGAUUGGCAGCUUCGUGCUGGCAGAGCCCCAGGGCGGUGCCGGACAUUCGAGGCAAGAGACUAUGUCCCCUGGCCUCCCUCCAUCUCUUCUUAUAAAGCCACCCAGGUCCAACCAUGGGGGACCCACCCUGAUCACCGCAUCUAAUCCUAACCAUGGGGAGAGGUCUCCUCACCCUGCAGCUCUGUUCCAGCUCGGGGGGUCCUUGCUGUGGCUGCUGGCCGCAGAGGAAAGAAAGCUCUGUCUGUGGUUGCCUCCGCAGCCAGGAGGGUCUGUCUCAGACCUGAGACUGCAGUGCAGCUUCAGGGCACACACUGGGGCUGUGGCCUGUGCCCUGAGGGUCUUUGCCCGAGAACAUGACCCACAGGGAAACACGUGUUCUUGCGGCUCUGAGCCUGAAACUUCAGCUCACAGACCAUGCUUCGGUCAGUGUGGCUGUCACCAGGGCCGUGGCUGGGGCUCAGGGAAGUGUGGCCCCAGGUUCUAUGGCGGUGGCCCUGGCCAUGUGUGGUGGGGAGCCUCUGCCCGCACUCGGCCGUCCCCCAGGCUCAUGAGAUGCUUCCACCUGGCCCGGCCCCGCAGGACUGUGCUAGCCUCGAGAAGAGAGCAAGGUCAAGGUCGGUGCCCCUGGCCUUCGAGGAGACCGCCUCCCUGGACCUCACGCUGAGCUCAGAAGCGGCACCUGCACGAGGUAACCCAGCCUGCCUGCGAGCCGUUCGUGGAGCAGAUGGGAGGGCUCCUGCUAGAGGGUCCCAUGGCUGAGUCCCAGCUGGGCCUCAGGAGGGGACGGGGCAGGAGGACCAGGGUAGAUUUCUCCGGACAGAACCGGGCAAAAUGCCUGUCCUGCAGGUCCAGGGAGGAGGUGGAGCCACUAGCAUCUGCCCAUCCCAGGACUCUGCCUCUGUCUCUCCUUUUCUAAUUUUUAUUUUCCCCUCGUACUGGAGAUUAAAUCUAGGGUCUUUAUACUGAGCUAAAUCCCCAGCCCUUUUAAUUAAUUUAUUUAUUUUUAAAUUUUGAGACAAGGUCUUUGCAAUCCUCCUGCCUCGGCCUCCCAGCAUGCCGAGAUGACAGGCAUGCACUCUGCUUCUCUCUCUCUCUCUCUCUCUCUCUUUUUGUACUGGAGAUCGAACUCAGAACCAAAUGCUUAUGAGGCAGGCGCAGUGCCACUGAGCUAAAUCCCCGGUCCUGCUUCUCUUUUUAUCUCCCUCUUUAUCUCUGAUUCUCCAUCCUAGGGGCUUGCACCUCUCCACUGUUAGUCAGACAUGCCGUGUAAACCCAAGCAGGCCACUUUCUGGCAGCUCUUGGAGCCCCUCUGGCUCCCUCUGUUAGAAGGUACAACAGCCAGCUGUAGUGGCUAGGCCUGUCAUCCCAGCACUCCACUUGGGAGUCUGAGGCAGGAGGAUUGCCACGAGUUCGAGGCCGGUCAGGGCCACAUAGUGAGUUCAAGUCCCGCCUAAAUAACAUAGCAAGACCCUGUCUUGAAAAAACAAAACAAACAAGACAUAAUUGCUAGACACAGUCGUGCAUGGCUCUACCCCAGGCUACUUGGGAGUCUGAGGCAGGAGAAUAACAAAUUCUAGGCCAGCCUGGGCCAUUUAGCAAGAUCUUGUCUCAACAUAAAAAGUAAGAAGGGCUGGGACGUAGCUCAGGGCU
rnacentral:lncRNA from 1 species